AUGAACGCUGGCGGCGUGCUUAACACAUGCAAGUCGAACGAGAAAUCUUUAGCUUGCUAGAGAAAGUAAAGUGGCGCACGGGUGAGUAACGCGUGGGUAAUCUGCCUCCGAAUCGGGGAUAACAUUGCGAAAGCGAUGCUAAUACCGGAUAAAAUCUGGUUGGCUUCGGUGAACCGGAUCAAAGGUGGUCUCUUUAUAAAAGCUACCGUUUGGAGAUGAGCUCGCGUACCAUUAGCUAGUUGGUGAGGUAAAGGCUCACCAAGGCGACGAUGGUUAGCUGGUCUGAGAGGAUGAUCAGCCACACCGGAACUGGAACACGGUCCGGACUCCUACGGGAGGCAGCAGUGAGGAAUUUUGCGCAAUGGGGGAAACCCUGACGCAGCAACGCCGCGUGAGUGAUGAAGGCUUUCGGGUCGUAAAGCUCUGUCAGGUGGGAAGAACCCACCAAGUGUUAAGACCACUUGGUGCUGACGGUACCACCGAAGGAAGCACCGGCUAACUCCGUGCCAGCAGCCGCGGUAAUACGGGGGGUGCGAGCGUUAUUCGGAAUCAUUGGGCGUAAAGGGCGCGCAGGCGGUUUUGUAAGUCAGAUGUGAAAUCCCGGGGCUUAACCCCGGAAGUGCAUAUGAAACUAUGAGACUUGAGUAUGGGAGAGGGAAGCGGAAUUCCUGGUGUAGCGGUGAAAUGCGUAGAUAUCAGGAGGAACACCGGUGGCGAAGGCGGCUUCCUGGACCAAUACUGACGCUGAGGCGCGAAGGCGUGGGGAGCGAACAGGAUUAGAUACCCUGGUAGUCCACGCAGUAAACGUUGAUCACUAGGUGUAGCGGGUAUUGACCCCUGCUGUGCCGGAGUUAACGCAUUAAGUGAUCCGCCUGGGGAGUACGAUCGCAAGAUUAAAACUCAAAGGAAAUUGACGGGGGGGCCCGCACAAGCGGUGGAGCAUGUGGUUUAAUUCGACGCAACGCGAAGAACCUUACCUGGACUUGACAUCUCGGGAAUUCCGUUGAAAGACGGGAGUGCCUUUAACGAGGAAUCCGAUGACAGGUGCUGCAUGGCUGUCGUCAGCUCGUGUCGUGAGAUGUUGGGUUAAAGUCCCGCAACGAGCGCAACCCCUAUCUUCAGUUACCAUCAGGUGAUGCUGGGGACUUUGGAGAUACUGCCCCGGU
rnacentral:rRNA from 1 species